rnacentral:rRNA from 1 species
AACGGCAGCGCGGGCUUCGGCCUGGCGGCGAGUGGCGAACGGGUGAGUAAUAUAUCGGAACGUACCCAGAAGUGGGGGAUAACGUAGCGAAAGUUACGCUAAUACCGCAUACGAUCUACGGAUGAAAGCAGGGGAUCUUCGGACCUUGUGCUUUUGGAGCGGCCGAUAUCUGAUUAGCUAGUUGGUGAGGUAAAGGCUCACCAAGGCGACGAUCAGUAGCUGGUCUGAGAGGACGACCAGCCACACUGGAACUGAGACACGGUCCAGACUCCUACGGGAGGCAGCAGUGGGGAAUUUUGGACAAUGGGCGCAAGCCUGAUCCAGCAAUGCCGCGUGAGUGAAGAAGGCCUUCGGGUUGUAAAGCUCUUUUGUCAGGGAAGAAACGGGAGUGGCUAAUAUCCAUUCCUAAUGACGGUACCUGAAGAAUAAGCACCGGCUAACUACGUGCCAGCAGCCGCGGUAAUACGUAGGGUGCAAGCGUUAAUCGGAAUUACUGGGCGUAAAGCGUGCGCAGGCGGUUUUGUAAGUCUGACGUGAAAUCCCCGGGCUUAACCUGGGAAUUGCGUUGGAGACUGCAAGGCUGGAGUCUGGCAGAGGGGGGUAGAAUUCCACGUGUAGCAGUGAAAUGCGUAGAGAUGUGGAGGAACACCGAUGGCGAAGGCAGCCCCCUGGGUCAAGACUGACGCUCAUGCACGAAAGCGUGGGGAGCAAACAGGAUUAGAUACCCUGGUAGUCCACGCCCUAAACGAUGUCUACUAGUUGUCGGGUUUUAAUUAACUUGGUAACGCAGCUAACGCGUGAAGUAGACCGCCUGGGGAGUACGGUCGCAAGAUUAAAACUCAAAGGAAUUGACGGGGACCCGCACAAGCGGUGGAUGAUGUGGAU